CCUACGGGGGGCAGCAGUGAGGAAUAUUGGUCAAUGGGCGCGAGCCUGAACCAGCCAAGUAGCGUGAAGGAUGACUGCCCUCUGUGUUGUAAACUUCUUUUAUAAAGGAAUAAAACGAGGCACGUGUGCCUUUUUGCAUGUACUUUAUGAAUACGGAUCGGCUCACUCCGUGCCAGCAGCCGCGGUAAUACGGAGGAUCCGAGCGUUAUCCGGAUUUAUUGGGUUUAAAGGGAGCGUAGAUGGGUUGUUAAGUCAGUUGUGAAAGUGUGCGGCUCAACCGUAAAAUUGCAAUUGAUACUGGCAGGCUUGAGUACAGUUGAGGUAGGUGGAAUUCGGGGUGUAGCGGUGAAAUGCUUAGAGAUAACGAAGAACCCCGAUUGCGAAGGCAGCUUACUAAACUGUGACUGACAUUGAUGCUCGAAAGUGUGGGGAGCAAACAGGAUUAGAUACCCGUGUAGUC
rnacentral:rRNA from 1 species